CCGUUCUCCGCCUCGCCUUUCUCCGCCUGGGUCAUGCUCCGGCCGGGCGGAAGCCGCGUCUGCCCGGCCCGAGCGGCGCCGAGCCCGGCGCGAGGCGGAAGCGGGCGGGCCCUGGCCGGGCACCGCCCCCCAGCAGCAGGUUACACAUUGCUGUGAGUACCCAGAAGCAAUCUCCAGUCUUUGCUGGAAUUGUGUCUACGCAAUAAGAAAAAAACACCACAACAUCCUGGGGUUUUUCUCCCACUUGGAAGAAGCUUAUCCUGUUCCAGUGAACUGAAAUACUGGUGUCUGUGUUUCCUGGUACAUGAACUUUUUCCUACAAGGUUUACAGCAGGAGGACAAAACACUCCAUUCUACCUUAACCCUGAAUUAACACUGCUAUUUAAAAAAACCCCAAACC